rnacentral:antisense_RNA from 1 species
CGUGUGUCACUUGGGUCACUCCACUCUCUGCAUUAGGUCUCAGUCAUCCAAGACCAUCUUUCAAGGGCCGUCACUCCAAUUAUGAGUCUGGGAUUUUCUGAAAUUGAGCAUUUUGGCCAGGCUGUGGGGUCCCUCUAUGACUGCCUGUAAGACACUGCCAAGGGGACUUUCUUCCUUUCACCAGACUGAAGCUAAGAAGUGCUGGAGACAGCAGUUGCUUUAGCCACAGGCUGUGUAGACCACCUGAGGAUGAGCUGGGGGUCUGUUUUGUGCACCUUGGAACCCAUCGGAUCCCUCCAAUGACACAUUUGUCCAGAGCAAGACAAGAUCACACUUUGACAGCCCUCUGUCAAGAUCCUUGCUCCAAAUCUCCAGACUAGCAGCCAGGAGUCUCCAUGCUGUUCUGAAGAAGCAGAUUCCUCACCCACCCUUCAACUCCUUCCCAGGAGGUAAUCCUCCUCCAAAUCUCUGGAAAAGAUACACCUCCUCUUCUCUGAUAAAGGCUGGGGGGUGAUGCCCCUCCCCCAGUUUCCCAAUAAAGCUAUGCAAGACAGGGGCAAGGGAUCUCACGGCCUGUUUUUGCUACAAAAACCCUUUUUCGGAAAAAAUAAUAAAGAAAGGAAUCAGCCAAUCCCUC